UGGGGCUUUCUGCUGGAGGUUCCAAAUGGAAUAAUGGCUGCAGCAUAAAACAUGCUUUUUACUUCUUGUCCUGUCCAAACUGGCCCAAGGGCUACUGCAUGAACUGCCUUCUGUUUCAUUUAUUCAUUUGUUUCCAAGUGGUGUAUAAGGUUUGGUAGCUCACUAAAGCAGCACAGUACCCAUCAUAACAAAGGUUGUUUGCACUUCGGUGUUCAAAUGAUGACUGCCUCUCCAUCUGCCCUCCUUCAAAUAAUGUAUGUGGCAAGUAAGUGCACAAAAGCUACUGCUUUCCAACAGGAGCUUUGGUCAGCCACCCAUUUUCCUCCUCUGUGAGGAGAAAAGGAGUGUCUGAGUCUUACUACACCUGCCGAUUUUGGUUGCCUUUUGAUGAUGCAAUGUACUGGCAGGUAGGUCCAGGCUCCUCCCGCAGUCUGACCCUAUGUCCUGUGUAAAGCAUACCUAGAUGCAGGCUCUGUCAGUAGAAUGAGCUGUCCCUGCCAGCGGUGUUGCUUGUCCUAAUAUCUGCUCCCAUUGUUUUUUUACAGACAUGUGAGCCAAGUGGUGGACCUUUGGAUCUAAGGGCUGGCUGUACAGGGAGCGCUCAUGGAUAAGUUGGUGUCUGAUGCCCACAAACUAAGAAAGUGGAUGAUACCUGUUCAGCAGCACCAUCAUGACACUUGGAGUUGCGCUGCAUGGGGAGGGUUUCUGAGACACCCUUCUAGAACAUGAUUGAAAUAGGACUAUGGAGCCCAUAGAAGUAUUCCAGGAGUUUCUGAAUAACAGCAAGGUGUCAGCUAUUCAAGCUCUGUAGUUGGUAAGUCAUAUGGUUCCCAGCCUCCAUCUACCUGAGUCUCCUCGCAG
rnacentral:lncRNA from 1 species